rnacentral:rRNA from 1 species
UACGAAGGGGGCUAGCGUUGCUCGGAAUCACUGGGCGUAAAGCGCACGUAGGCGGAUUGUUAAGUCAGGGGUGAAAUCCUGGAGCUCAACUCCAGAACUGCCUUUGAUACUGGCGAUCUUGAGUCCGGGAGAGGUGAGUGGAACUGCGAGUGUAGAGGUGAAAUGCGUAGAUAUCUGGAGGAACACCGGUGGCGAAGGCGGCAUCCUGGACCAACACUGACACUGAGGAGCGAAAGCCAGGGGAGCAAACGGG